AUUGAACGCUGGCAGCAGGCUUAACACAUGCAAGUCGAGCGGAGAUGAGGUGCUUGCACCUUAUCUUAGCGGCGGACGGGUGAGUAAUGCUUAGGAAUCUGCCUAUUAGUGGGGGACAGCAUUCCGAAAGGAAUGCUAAUACCGCAUACGUCCUACGGGAGAAAGCAGGGGAUCUUCGGACCUUGCGCUAAUAGAUGAGCCUAAGUCGGAUUAGCUAGUUGGUGGGGUAAAGGCCUACCAAGGCGACGAUCUGUAGCGGGUCUGAGAGGAUGAUCCGCCACACUGGGACUGAGACACGGCCCAGACUCCUACGGGAGGCAGCAGUGGGGAAUAUUGGACAAUGGGCGGAAGCCUGAUCCAGCCAUGCCGCGUGUGUGAAGAAGGCCUUUUGGUUGUAAAGCACUUUAAGCGAGGAGGAGGCUACCUGGAUUAAUACUCUAGGAUAGUGGACGUUACUCGCAGAAUAAGCACCGGCUAACUCUGUGCCAGCCGCCGCGGUAAGAC
rnacentral:rRNA from 1 species